GAUGAACGCUGGCGGCGUGCCUAAUACAUGCAAGUCGAGCGAACGGACGAGAAGCUUGCUUCUCUGAUGUUAGCGGCGGACGGGUGAGUAGCACGUGGAUAACCUACCUAUAAGACUGGGAUAACUUCGGGAAACCGGAGCUAAUACCGGAUAAUAUUUUGAACCGCAUGGUUCAAAAGUGAAAGACGGUCUUGCUGUCACUUAUAGAUGGAUCCGCGCUGCAUUAGCUAGUUGGUAAGGUAACGGCUUACCAAGGCAACGAUGCAUAGCCGACCUGAGAGGGUGAUCGGCCACACUGGAACUGAGACACGGUCCAGACUCCUACGGGAGGCAGCAGUAGGGAAUCUUCCGCAAUGGGCGAAAGCCUGACGGAGCAACGCCGCGUGAGUGAUGAAGGUCUUCGGAUCGUAAAACUCUGUUAUUAGGGAAGAACAUAUGUGUAAGUAACUGUGCACAUCUUGACGGUACCUAAUCAGAAAGCCACGGCUAACUACGUGCCAGCAGCCGCGGUAAUACGUAGGUGGCAAGCGUUAUCCGGAAUUAUUGGGCGUAAAGCGCGCGUAGGCGGUUUUUUAAGUCUGAUGUGAAAGCCCACGGCUCAACCGUGGAGGGUCAUUGGAAACUGGAAAACUUGAGUGCAGAAGAGGAAAGUGGAAUUCCAUGUGUAGCGGUGAAAUGCGCAGAGAUACGGAGGAACACCAGUGGCGAAGGCGACUUUCUGGUCUGUAACUGACGCUGAUGUGCGAAAGCGUGGGGAUCAAACAGGAUUAGAUACCCUGGUAGUCCACGCCGUAAACGAUGAGUGCUAAGUGUUAGGGGGUUUCCGCCCCUUAGUGCUGCAGCUAACGCAUUAAGCACUCCGCCUGGGGAGUACGACCGCAAGGUUGAAACUCAAAGGAAUUGACGGGGACCCGCACAAGCGGUGGAGCAUGUGGUUUAAUUCGAAGCAACGCGAAGAACCUUACCAAAUCUUGACAUCCUUUGACAACUCUAGAGAUAGAGCCUUCCCCUUCGGGGGACAAAGUGACAGGUGGUGCAUGGUUGUCGUCAGCUCGUGUCGUGAGAUGUUGGGUUAAGUCCCGCAACGAGCGCAACCCUUAAGCUUAGUUGCCAUCAUUAAGUUGGGCACUCUAAGUUGACUGCCGGUGACAAACCGGAGGAAGGUGGGGAUGACGUCAAAUCAUCAUGCCCCUUAUGAUUUGGGCUACACACGUGCUACAAUGGACAAUACAAAGGGCAGCGAAACCGCGAGGUCAAGCAAAUCCCAUAAAGUUGUUCUCAGUUCGGAUUGUAGUCUGCAACUCGACUACAUGAAGCUGGAAUCGCUAGUAAUCGUAGAUCAGCAUGCUACGGUGAAUACGUUCCCGGGUCU
rnacentral:rRNA from 1 species